UGGGGAAUAUUGGACAAUGGGCGGAAGCCUGAUCCAGCAAUGCCGCGUGUGUGAAGAAGGCCUGCGGGUUGUAAAGCACUUUCGGUGGGGAGGAGAGGCCCCGGGCUAAUAUCCCGGGGAAGAGACGUUACCCACAGAAGAAGCACCGGCUAACUCUGUGCCAGCAGCCGCGGUAAUACAGAGGGUGCGAGCGUUAAUCGGAAUUACUGGGCGUAAAGGGUGCGUAGGUGGUUUGAUAAGUUAGGUGUGAAAGUCCUGGGCUUAACCUGGGGAUUGCGCCUAAUACUGUUGAGCUAGAGUACUGUAGAGGAAGGUGGAAUUUCCGGUGUAGCGGUGAAAUGCGUAGAUAUCGGAAGGAACAUCAGUGGCGAAGGCGACUUUCUGGACAGAUACUGACACUGAGGCACGAAAGCGUGGGGAGCAAACAG
rnacentral:rRNA from 1 species